rnacentral:lncRNA from 1 species
GCGCCGCGGGCUCUAAAAGCUCGACUGUCGGCCGGGCGCUGUGGCGCACGCCUGUAAUCCCAGCACUUUGGGAGGGCAAGGUGGGUGGAUCAAAGUUCGCGACCAGCCUGACCAACAUGGUGAAACUACGUCUCUACUAAAUUAGCCAGGCGUAGUGGCUCAUGCCUAUAAUCCGAGCUACUUGGGAGGCUGAGACAGGAGACUCGCUUGUACCCGGCAGGCGGAGGUUGCAGUGAGCCAAGAUUGCGCCAUUGCACUCCAGCCUCGGCAACAAGAGCGAAACUCCGUCUCAAAAAAAAAAAAAGCUCAACUGUGGGCCUGCGACCUUCACGCGCCAGCGCUGGAGAGGUGCCAGGCUCCCUGGGGCCGAGACCGGGGCAGAGGACGACACUUCGUCUGGCCGCCUAGCCUCGGCCUCUAAGCUUCCUGCAUCUUCUUCAUCGUAGGUGAUGUUGGACGUGACAGAGGAGGUGACAGGUCACCCUGAGUGCGGGACUCCGUGUCCAGAAGGAAGUGGGCCUCCAGGUGCCACGCCUUUGCUUCUGCUGUGGCAUCUGAUGAGUUCCCUGUUCAUCUCUCCAGGCAUUCCCAGGGCAGUCAGCCCUGAUGCCCAGGGGCUAGGCUUGCAAGACCGCGCAUUAGGUUCGCAGAGCUAGAGUGCAAGGCCAGACCUGGUACCAACAGCAUCUCCGCCUUCGUCCUCAUCUGGUUCCCGCCUCAAACCUGUACCUGUGCGGAGGAGCCUGGAAGGUGCGUGCUGUGAAAGUAAAUGAAUGAAUGAGGCUCCUGGGGGAUGGCGGGCGCGUGUUUGCCCCUAUAGGGCUGCUACAAUGGAAAGAGCAUUUGCUAGUUGGAUUCAUGGGUUCCAGUUCUGGUUCCAUUCAUCAUUGCUGCUUAAUAAGUUCCUCCUCCCAUCUGGGUCCUAACUUCUUGUUUCUUUGUUUGUUUGUUUAUUGGUUUUGUUUUUUUCAGACGGAGUUUCGCUUUUGUUGCCCAGGCUGGAGUGCAAUGGCGCGUUCUCAGCUCACUGCAACCUCCGCCUCCCUGGCUGAGGCAGGAAAAUUGCUUGGAGGCGGAGGCUGCAGUGAGCCGAGAUCGCGCCACUGCACUCAGGCCUGGGAGACAGAGUGAGACUCUGUCUCAAAAAAACAAAACAAAAAACAAACAGAAAAAAUGGGGGGUAGGGGGUUUGAGGAGCACAAGGCUUGGACCUACUAGACCUGGAGAUUUGGGGAACGAGGGAUGCCAGCCAUGUUCCUUGUACUGUAUGCAAAAGGGAAGUAACAAGUAUUGAAUGUUCACUUACCUCUUUCAUUCCCCAAUAUGAAAUAGAUAUUCCCAUUUGC